rnacentral:rRNA from 1 species
AACGAACGCUGGCGGCAGGCCUAACACAUGCAAGUCGAACGGGCGUAGCAAUACGUCAGUGGCGGACGGGUGAGUAACACGUGGGAAUAUGCCUUUCGGUUCGGAACAACUCGGGGAAACCCGUGCUAAUUCCGGAUACGCCCUUACGGGGAAAGAUUUAUCGCCGAAAGAUUAGCCCGCGUUGGAUUAGCUAGUUGGUGAGGUAAAGGCUCACCAAGGCGACGAUCCAUAGCUGGUUUGAGAGAACGACCAGCCACACUGGGACUGAGACACGGCCCAGACUCCUACGGGAGGCAGCAGUGGGGAAUCUUGGACAAUGGAGGAAACUCUGAUCCAGCCAUGCCGCGUGAGUGAUGAAGGCCUUCGGUUG